rnacentral:rRNA from 1 species
GAUGAACGCUGGCGGCGUGCCUAAUACAUGCAAGUCGAGCGAACGGACGAGAAGCUUGCUUCUCUGACGUUAGCGGCGGACGGGUGAGUAACGCGUGGAUAACCUACCUAUAAGACUGGGAUCACUUCGGGAAACCGGAGCUAAUACCGGAUAAUAUUUUGAACCGCAUGGUUCAAAAGUGAAAGACGGUCUUGCUGUCACUUAUAGAUGGAUCCGCGCUGCAUUAGCUAGUUGGUAAGGUAACGGCUUACCAAGGCAACGAUGCAUAGCCGACCUGAGAGGGUGAUCGGCCACACUGGAAGUGAGACACGGUCCAGACGCCUGCGGUAGGCAGCAGUAUGGAAUCUGCCGCAGUGGGCGAAAGCCUGACGGAGCAACGCCGCGUGAGUGAUGAAGGUCUUCGGAUCGUAAAACUCUGUUAUUAGUGAAGAACAGAUGUGUAAGUAACUGUGCACAUCUUGACGGUACCUAAUCAGAAAGCCACGGCUAACUACGUG